rnacentral:rRNA from 1 species
AUGUCCGCAUGGCGGCUCCGCCCGUUCAUGCUCUUCCUCUUCCUCUUGUCAGUGUUGCCCCAUGGCACACUCUCACAGAUAGCGCUGCCGCCACCGUCACCACCGUCUAGGGUGGCGCCGAACAUAACAUGCGACAGCAUCCAGUAUCCAUUUGGCGUCAAAGGCAAAGCCCUGCAACCAGGCUUCGAGGUAACGUGCGGCCGAAACAAGGAGGCCAUGUUGCAGAUCGACAAGCAUAGCUAUAAAAUCGACUAUGUGUCGGUGGAAGAAGGCUCCGUCGUCGUCUCAGCCGGGCCCAUCCACCAAGUCUGCUACGACAACAAAGGUAAGCAGAUGAAGGCCACGGGAAUCGGCAAUAUCAGCUUGGAGCAGACGCCCUUCACCUUCUCCAAGAGCAAUAAGCUGGUGGCCACUGGAUGCAACUACAGGCUAGUUGCUAAGUUCAGUAACUCGUCGGCCGGUGAAACUAUCUGCUACGUCUACUGUGACGAAAGCUCCAGCACCGUCGAUUGUAUUCGUGGGGUAGCAUGCUGCGAGGUCCCCAUGCCGAUGAACACCACUCGAGAGUUCACCUUCAAGUUCGACAAGAUAGAAGAGCAAGACAUGGGCAGAGAGGACGGCACUUGUAGCGCUGCCUUCUUCCUCGACCAAGGCGAGCAAGUCUUCAUGGGUGGCAGAGGCGGUGUCCAGAGGCCGCUGCCGCUGAAAGACAUGUUGUUGCCGGCUGGUGACCACAGGAUGAGCUUGGAUUGGACAAUUGGACACAGCACAUGCCACCAGGCUUCGACCCACAACUUGGCGCGAAGGUACUGCAACAACAUGAGCGGGUGUAUUGACGCACCCAGUGGAGCGGGCCAUCUCUGCAAGUGCCGCGCAGGGUAUGACGGGAAUCCGUAUGCUCCCGAUGGAUGUGUAGAUAUCGAUGAAUGCCGGACUCCCGACAGCAACAAUUGCACCUUUCAAGACUUCUGCCACAACACCGACGGGGGUUUUACUUGCUCGUGUCCCAAUGGCUGGAUCGGUGACGGUUACAUGACAGGGACAAACUGCACUGAGGCACUCAGUCCAUCUGGUUCCCCUAUGCAACAACCACAAGGUCUGAAUGACUGCGAUCAUCCAGAAAAGAACCCCUGCACAUACCCAGCGUACUGCAGUGAUGAGCAAGGGGUAGUUGUGUGUGAUUGUCCUUUCGGCAUGAGUGGGAAUGGCAGGAAAAUGGGAAGUGGGUGCUUUCCCAUAUAUAUUGCUUUGGGUGUUGGUCUUGCACUUGUGGUUAUAAUAUCUAGCACAGCUCUGUGCUGCUACUGGGGCAUGAAGAGAAGAAAUGUGAGAAGAAAGAGAGCUGAGUUAUUCCGUAAGAAUGGAGGUUUGCUGUUGCAGCAGAGAUUUACGGCAAUCACAUCUCAUGGUAAGGACUCUUCAGCAAAGAUAUUCAGUGCGGAAGAGCUCAAGACUGCAACUAACAACUAUAACGAGACUCGAAUUCUUGGCCGAGGUGCAUAUGGCACAGUGUACAAGGGUGUUCUUCCAGAUGAGACUGUGGUUGCUGUAAAGAAGUCUAGGGUGUUUGAUGAGAGCCAGGUGGAACAAUUUGUCAAUGAGAUUACCAUCUUAUCACAGACCGAUCACCCGAAUGUUGUCAAGCUUUUGGGAUGUUGUCUAGAGAUAGAAGUUCCCUUGUUGGUAUAUGAGUUCAUACCCAAUGGAACACUCUUUCAGCACAUCCACAACAGAAGUGCACCUCGCUCCUUAACAUGGGAGGAUACCUUAAGGAUAGCUGCAGAAGCAGCAGAAGCACUUGCCUACCUCCAUUCCACAUCUUCUAUACCAAUUAUUCACAGGGAUAUCAAAUCAAGCAACAUAUUGUUGGAUGAGAACUUUGUGGCCAAAAUAUCAGAUUUUGGUGCAUCAAGAUCAGUUCCAUUUGAUCAAACUCAUGUAACUACCCUUAUUCAAGGUACUAUAGGUUACCUCGAUCCUGAAUAUUUUCAAAGCAGCCAGCUCACAGAGAAGAGUGAUGUCUACAGUUUUGGAGUAGUUCUUGCAGAACUAUUGACAAGGCAGAAGCCCAUUUCUGUAGGCAGGCCAGAGGAAUCAUGCAACUUAGCAAUGCAUAUGGUGAUUCUAGUUAAUGAAGGGCGCCUACUUAAGGAGAUAGAGCCAGACAUUUUGGCAGAAGCAGGUGAAGAGCAGCUCUAUGCAGUUGCGCAGCUCUCUGUGAGAUGCUUAAAUAUGAAUGGACAAGAACGACCCAUCAUGAAGGAGGUUGCAUCAGUUUUAGAGGGGCUAAGAAGGUCAUUCACCAAUAACAAGGAGCAAACUAGGAGAAGAACAGAUGAAUCUGCACAGAAAUAUAAUGAACAAGGGCGCCUUCUACGUGAGGCAAGCUCGACUUCCAGCCUGCACUAUUCAGAAGGAAGUACACAGUUGAGCAUGGAGGCUGAAAUGAAAGCUUCUUGUCACACUCCAAGAUGA